UACGUAGGGUGCAAGCGUUGUCCGGAAUUAUUGGGCGUAAAGAGCGUGUAGGCGGCCAGACAGGUCCGUUGUGAAAACUCGAGGCUCAACCUCGAGACGCCGAUGGAAACCGUUUGGCUAGAGUCCGGAAGAGGAGAGUGGAAUUCCUGGUGUAGCGGUGAAAUGCGCAGAUAUCAGGAAGAACACCCGUGGCUAAGGCGGCUCUCUAGUACGGUACUGACGCUGAGACGCGAAAGCGUGGGGAGCGAACAGG
rnacentral:rRNA from 1 species